CUCUCCGGCUUCCUCCCGCCGCCUUCGCGCUUCGGCUGCCGGCUCUUGCUCUCUACCGCCGGGCUGACAUAUUCUCCCGCAUCCCUCGGACGGCUCCCGGGGAGCCCCAAGGGUGUCGGUCGUGACACCCAGCUCCAUUGGCCAGAGAGAAGACACCGGCCCUACGCGCCUGGCGGCCAGGUCAACCCGCAGAGCACGGGUUCGGGAUUCACGACGCCAGAUUUCUUUAUUCCCGGAGCUCUUCCUCCCGUCCCCUCCUCCACCGGACGGGUUACCAGUCUGUGGAGUUGGCCACAAAGCUGGAGUACAUCACAGAUUCAAGAGGGGUCAAGUCUUAGGCUGCAAGAAAAGAAGAAAAAGCAGCCACACAGUUACUAAUCCCUGGUCUUCCUUUGUAUCUGUUAGUUCUUCCAUCUCAAAACUUCGGUGGCUAACUACAGUUUUUGACAUUGCUGUAUCACAUUCUACAGCUGGUCUUUUUGCCCAUUUUCUCAAACCUUCAUUGAAACCAUCAGUGUUACUGUUUUGCUCUGCACCUUGCUGUUGGCUACAUACUUGUGCCGGACUCCUGGGUCCAGCUCUCCAUGUUUUGUCCCUCUGAAGAUGGCUGGUGUUCACUUGCACCAUAGCAAGCUGUUGAAACAACUGUUGAUCUCCAUGCUUGUCAGUCAGUCUUCUGGGUCAACUAUUCAUUUCUGGUAACUCCUCUUUUUUUUUUUUUUUUUUUUUUUUCUUUCUCUCUUUUUUUUUUUUUAACACUUUAAUUCAGAAAGUGAGGGUUCUUACUAAAGUAAUUCAGAAGAGCUUCAUUAGGAUGGCAUACAAGUGAGAUUCAUCUGAAAGCAAAUCUGAGCUGACAGAAUGUUUCAAACAACUGUUUGCAUCAAAGAAAGUAUCUUUGCAGGUUAAGACACAUCUCUGAUAAGACUUUCUAGCAUGCUUAUCUCUCAUCUCCCAAAAUAGUUUAGCCUUUUUUGCUUGAGGCUGGUUUGCAAGAAAAGGUUGAUUUUCUCUACCUUUGUGAAAAUGUGGUAUCUGAGAAUACAAGCAUCUCAGAAGUCCCUCCUGUGAAGGCUGUGGGAGGUCAUGACAAAUCAGUGUUUUCUAACAUUUUUCAUUGCUUGAGCAGGUAAAGGGAAAGAUCUUUUCCCUCACUUACUGUGGUUGCAAAUCAAUAAAUAGUGUUAAGCCCAGUAUUUCAAAAGCUGCAGAGGCAUUUUGAAGGUACAACAGAUACUGACUUACACUGCCUUUUGAAUGCAGUGCUAUGAGUCUUAUGCAUUGACAGCAUUGUAGAGCGAGGGACAUGGGUUCACAUGUAAGCUGCUCCAGCACUGCCUGACCAUCCAACUGGGCAUCACUCUGUCCCCUCAUCAGGUUGCCAGUCUCACAGGAACCACCCAGUUGGGUUGGGUUGCUCUGAAUGAGUGAAAAAAUUACUUUUUCAGUUGGAUCAGGCCCCCAACAUCCCUGCUGCAAAGCAGGCAUUUGGAGUGUAGGGGCAGGGGCACAAGCAGGACCGUACCAUCCACCAGCAGCAACUGCAAAAGCAGAUUAAACCCAUUGCAAAACAGCCAUUAAUGGCACUCUUAUUAAAUCUGUGGCGUAUCUAC